rnacentral:tRNA from 1 species
GGGGCUGUAGCUCAGUGGUAGAGUGUUUGCUUAGCAUGCAUGAGGCACUAGGUUCCAUCCUCAGCACCA